UUCCAAAUAGUAAGAUAAGAG
rnacentral:piRNA from 1 species